GUAGAGUCAGCUAAUUAAGCUCUC
rnacentral:tRNA from 1 species